GAAAGAGAAGGAAGGAAGGAAGGAGAGAGAGAGGAAAGGAAGAAAAAGAAAGUAGAAGGGUGAUUGUCAGGGCCUUAUGGAGUGGAGAUGGGGAGUUAUCGUUUAGUGGGGACAGUGUUUCAGCUUAGGAAGAUGAAAAAGUUAUGGAGGUGGAUGGUGGUGAUGGCUGUACAAUAGUAUGAAUAUAGUUACCACCACAGAACUAUACAUUUAAAAAUGGUUAUGACGGUAAAUAUUAUGUUAUGUAUAUUUUACUACAAUUUAAAAAAAUAAUUUUUAAAAAAGUUGUGCUCCAGAGAAAGUGGGCAUUUUAACCUCUGCGUGGAGGGGUUUGGCUACAAUGUUCAAAACAUCUGUCAUGACUCUGGAGCCUCCAAACCUCCUAACUUCACUGGCCACAGUGAUGUCCGCUGCCUCUUCCUCUCUUGAAUGUCAUCUGGAAAAGCGAGUGGUGAUAUGUGGAAACGCUUUUCAAUGUUCCCCCGACAGCAAUAGUUGGCCUGAUGCUAGAAUUCUUCUCCACUGUACACUGACCCCUGUUGUGUGUCUGUUAUCAACACGUUGCAUGCCUACAUUUUUAGCAAUGUGUGACCUUGCACAUUUGCUGCCACCCUCUGCCCCUGACAUGAGUAGUCUUGCAUCUCUCUUCCCAGCCAGACAGCAUGCAUGGGCCAGAGUCACGUGCUUGGGGAAAAGGUGGGUUGUAUCGGCUCCACAACAAGUCAGAGUACAGUGGGCCCAUGUUUUGUAAAAUGUUUGGCAAAUGACUCCUGUGGGCUGCAGAAAUCCAGAUGGGGGAAGUUUUCUAAGUGUGAUGUCAGAAUGUUACAUCUGCUGAUCCCACGGGUGCAUGGGGCCAAUAAGAAGACGUGACUUGGUUUGUCCCAUAAAUUGCACGGCAGGGAGAUCUGGGGGGCACAUUCGAACCUGGAAAACAAAGGCCAUGAUAUCCGCAGCCCUCUUUGGGUUUGGGUCUUGUUAGAGCUGGGAGAAGUCUUCACAUUGCCUAAAAGAGUCCCAAUUUUAUGCACGAGGAAACUGAGGCAUGGGGUGGUGGGUAAGGUGAGUUGCUCAAGGCUGCCUAACGCUGGAACUUGAACCUGGGGCUCUGUAGUCUCAGCACAGCACCCUCAGCCCCAACACGCUAGACCAAGGCAGAGAUUAAGGUCCUGGGUGUAACAUCAGACUGCCUGGAGGGUUAAGGCUCUGUUCCAUCUGCUGAAAAGCUGUGCCACCCUGGGCAAGUUCAUUCCUUUCUCUGAGCCUCAGUCUCCUCACCUGAAAGCAGUGAUUACAACAGGGCUUGUAGGUAGGGAUGUGUGUGCUGGGGGGAGCUAAGUGGUAGUGAAGAUGAUGAGUGUGAACAGAUGAUGGACAGCAGCAUGUGCCCAACAUUUCAUGUCCAAAUUCUCACUAUGCCCACUCAGCCUCCAUGCAGCCCCACAACAUGGGUACCACUGUCCUAUCCUCUCCCAUUUAAUAAUGAGGCGGCCAAUGCUACUUAAAAAAAGAAAUGAGGCGGAGCCUGUUGCAUCCAAAGAUCCCAAACCCUAAACCUCUUUUACACAUAUCUGGGAAGAAAUGCAUUUACUUUCCCUGGCCUUGGGCCAGUGGGUUGUUUAGAAACCUUCAAGGGAGCAGGAAGAUGCAGCCCACAGCACGGAGAUGGCCUUCCCGGGUCCUCUAAAAACAGGUAUUUCAUGCCAUGUUGGCACAAAAGCGCCUGCCAACAAUCCCUGUGCUUGUCUGUCUGGACUGUUGGGUAAUUUUACAAAUUGGCUUUUGCUGGCAGGGGAGGUGGGUGGAUGUAGGUAGUGGAAUAUUCCAGUAGGUCACAGGUUCAGGUCCAGCCUGGUGGUUGGGGACUUCUGGGGUCAUCUGCCCUCUGAGAAGUUGUUUGCUUAAAUUGAUUGGGACCCUGGAUCAACGCAUUCGGCGAAGCCUGUUAACCUACUUGAUUCCAGGCCUGUGCUACCUGCUGAAGACACAGUGGUGAGCGAGACUGAUAUCUUGUGUUGAUGAAAGUUUAAGUCUAGUAAAAAAGAGAGAUCAUCAUCCAAGCUUUAACAAAGACUGAGGGUGCCCAAGUUCCCCCUCCUCCUGUUUAGUUUCUCACGGUUGGCAAAUAAGUCAAUAAAUAAGCAAAUUUUAAAAAUAUGUAUAUCUCAAGAUGAGGAUGGAAACCUCAUUCUUGAGUGGGGUUGUUGACACAUCCAACGUAAGGUCUCUGGGAAAGACAGCUUUCUGGGAUAGCCUGUGCUUCCCUUGUCUUCUCCCUGUCUCUGCCAGAACUGAAAGUAACUGGACUCUCAUCAGGAAGGAUAGAUAUAGCUUACCUGUCCGGGUGCAGGCUGAGGUGCUGAACAUUUAAGAGUGAAGAUGGGAGCGGCUCCAAGAAGAGGCAGAGAACAGAGCUCGCCUCUAGGACACUGAGUCAAGUGAUCGUGCACUUGUGUCAGACGUCACUGCUCAAAAUAGCUGCAUGAGAGGCUGCGGUGAGCCAAGGUCGCGCCACUGCACUCCAGCCUGGGCGACAGGGCAAGACUCCAUCUCAAACAAUAAAAAAAAUAAUAAACCAAAAUAGCUGUAUGACGACUCCUCCUUUUUAUUUGGGGGAGAGAGGGUUUGAGGUGGAGAGAGGAGAGAUGGGCAGGAAGAACGGGUUCUCACCACGCUUUCCCACUGGUGAGAGAACAGAAACGUUUGGAGUCUAUUAAUCUGCUGCUCACUUUCGAAAAUGCCAUCAGCCUCUUUCCGCGCAGGAAGCUGGGGGAGCGGCACCCAGGCCUCUGUGUCAGUGCCUGGGAACUGCCUGAGGAUUUCUGGGCGACCAGGAGCCAGGGUCGCCACCGUUCCCGGGACAGGGAAGAGGAGGUUCACAUUUCACUCCUGGAAGGAGAAAAUGGAAAAUGUUCUACCAGGAGGCACGAAUCACUCUGGCACAUGCUGUAAUAGCUGCAGCGGGAACGAAUUCAGCCCAUGACAUUUGAAAGUCUCAAUGUGCUGUGGAGGAGGGUGCUCCCCAGAGAGCAGCCCUGCGACAGAUGGAUGGAAGGACCCCCAAAUGGCUGAAUUGAGAAGAAUGAGCAUAUUAGGAGGCCAUAGCAUUAGGGAACCUCUCAGGCAGACAGACCAAGCCGUGGAAACUGCAGACUUAUUUGUAUGUUUUAGUAAACACCUUUGCUUCAUUUUCCCUGUCUCCGCCUGGACUGAGGGUCGCCUCACCUCUCCUGGUGUCCAGAGCCUCCUUCAGCACAGAUGUUUCAAACCUGAGUUCUCACAAACAACGGGGUCCAGCCCUUCUCAACACGGGAAAGCCCUUGAGCCAUCUUUGAUUUGUGUGUUUUGAUCUAAUUGCACUACUGCUUGUUAUGCUUGUUUUUAGCAGUGAGUGCUGGUUUAAUUUGUUCCUUUCUGGUCUCCCAGCCCCACUCCAGAAUUUUGGCUCCAGGAGAGGAGGGGCCCUGAACUGGCAUUUUCAGUGACGCAUCCCAGUGCCCUGAAUCCAGUAAGCAGCCAGGUAUCUGUUGGCUUCAUAGUUUAAUGACCUACAAUUUGAAGAAUCGCAGAGAUGAAUUAAAAAGUUAGAGCCCCUGAGAGGCUCCCUGAUCCAGUUGCACUUCCUGCUUAAGAAAAGUAAAGAAAAACAGGAAUGAAAACAUAACGCAAUGGGUUAGUUCCAUGCUGGCCUUUGACGUGGUUGCAGCCACCACCGGAAGACGGCCAAACGGUUAGAAAGACGCGACGGUGAGGAAGAUGAGCCUCAUUAUCGACUGUCACCCACAGCCCUGCACAGGUGCUCAGAAAACACUUGAUGUCUGGGUGAGGUUUGUGGAGUCCUAAUUAGGGAGGGGGAGUCAGUCUGGCAGGACCCAGGGAAAGCAAAAAGAGAAGGGAGAUAAGCUCCAAGUCUGCAUGUCUUCAUGGUCCAGAACACACAGUCAUCCUGCACAAGUAACUCACAAUCUUCCUGCGUCCAGCUGUCAUUAGACCCUUGGCUGACAGAAAAAUGCAUGUUAGCGAACCACAACCUUGUUGUUAUCAGUACUGCACAUCACUCUUUCCAGCACACAGCACAAGAACCACGCUAUAAAGUCCCCAGCAAGCCUUUGUCUCCUUGCCAUCAGCUCCUCUCUUGCUGGCCUGCCUGUUGUCUCCUUGCCAUGUAUUUUCCUACUUUAAUAAAUUUGCUUUUCUUUCUUUU